GGCCACUGGCUGGGUGUUUCCAAACGCCCGGCCCCGCCCUCACGGGCCAUUGGCUGGCCCCGCCCACGAGCGACGGGCUUGUAUGGGUGGGGCGUAGCCUCCGUUUCCGCCGGGCCAUGGGGCCGUACGUGCUGUCGCCAUCGCUCCUGCUGCUGCUGGCGCUAGUGCUGUUAGCGCUGCUUUGCGGAGUUCGGGAGGCCGCGCUCCCGUCGUCGUGCCCCACGCAGGCCAUGGUUUCGCUACCUCAGGCCGUGACGAACGGGAGCCAGCCGGGUGCACCGCACAACGGCACGCACCCGGGACCGCUGGGCUCGCCGGGCUCACCGGGCUCACCAGGCUCACCGCUGCUGCGCUCCUUCUACGUGCUCAUGGGCCUCAGUGGUCUGGUCGCGCUCUACUUCCUCAUCCGGGCUUUCAGGUGCGUCAGGCGCACGCUGCCUGUGCGGCCAAUCAGCGCGCGCCGCGCGCCUCACGUGUUGGGGCGCGAGAACCCCGCCUUUCCGGAGCGGGCGUGGGCCCUUUCGCGGCUGCGUCAGGUGGUUGGGGUGUGUGGGAGGGUGACAGGAGGUCACGUGAUGCCCUGGUGCAUCUUAACGCUGGGUCAAGGAUGCGGAUUUCCCAGACGCGUCAACCCAGGCUGCACUGAACGGUGCGGUGCGGCGUGUGCCCACUUUGUGCCUCUGCUCUGUACUUUCCUUGCCGGGUAACGCCCACCAACCCCACCUGGGCCUGAGAUCCCCGCCGGCUGCAAUCCUCCCCAUCCAGCCCUGAGCGUGGAGUGGAGUGGAAGGGAUGGCCCGCUGGGCAGGGCCUGACGGAGCCGCGGCAUCAUCCUCUGGCUUUUUCAGUCCCGGAGUUGGCAGCGAUCAGUUGAAGAAACCCCAGCGGAGGAGUUACGGCCUCCUGGCCAACACCGAGGACCCCACCGAGAUGGCCAUUCUGGACAGCGAUGAGGAGAC